rnacentral:rRNA from 1 species
UUCAUUCUGGCUCAGGAUGAACGCUAGCUACAGGCUUAACACAUGCAAGUCGAGGGGCAGCAUGAAAGUAGCUUGCUACUUUGAUGGCGACCGGCGCACGGGUGCGUAACGCGUAUCCAAUCUACCCAUGGCUCAGGGGUAGCCUUUCGAAAGAAAGAUUAAUACCUGAUGGUUUCGCUUUUCCGCAUGGUUUAGCGAAUAAAGAUUUAUCGGCGAUGGAUGAGGAUGCGACUGAUUAGGUUGUUGGCGGGGUAACGGCCCACCAAGCCCACGAUCAGUAGGGGUUCUGAGAGGAAGGUCCCCCACAUUGGAACUGAGACACGGUCCAAACUCCUACGGGAGGCAGCAGUGAGGAAUAUUGGUCAAUGGACGAGAGUCUGAACCAGCCAAGUAAGCGUGAAGGAUGACGGCCCUAUGGGUUGUAAACUUCUUUUGUUUGGGAAUAAAGUGCUCUACGUGUAGAGUUUUGUAUGUACCUUACGAAUAAGCAUCGGCUAAUUCCGUGCCAGCCGCCGC